UACCAGCUCUUCGAGUGGUGUGGAUGUUUAUUGGGCCUAAAGCAUCCGUAGCUGGCUGGGCAAGUCCCCUGUUAAAUCCACCGAUUUAAUCGUUGGAGUGCGGGGGAUACUGUUCGGCUAGGGGACGGGAGAGGCAGACGGUAUUUUCGGGGUAGGGGUGAAAUCCUAUAAUCCCGGGAAGACCACCAGUGGCGAAGGCCGUCUGCUAGAACGCGCCCGACGGUGAGGGAUGAAAGCUGGGGGAGCGAACCGGAUUAGAUACCCGGGUAGUCCCAGCUGUAAACGAUGCAGGCUAGGUGUUUGGGCGGCCACGUGCCGCUCUAGUGCCGCAAGGAGGCUGUUAAGCCUGCCGCCUGGGGAGUACGGCCGCAAGGCUGAAACUUAAAGGAAUUGGCGGGGGAGCACCACAAGGGGUGAAGCUUGCGGUUU
rnacentral:rRNA from 1 species